UUGCUUAAGAGGAACCCGUCCAUAGUACACAAUGUUCAUAAUAAUUGCCGUAUUGACCAUGCACCAAGACAAUCCGACGUGCUGUAUUCAUGAUCCAUUCAUUAUUCACUAUAUGUGUAUGCGUCUUAAAGGAGCGGAGGACGGAGAAGCGCUGGAAAUCUAGUUCUAUUUGGAAUUAAAAUAAUUGAAGGUACUACUGUGCGCCACAACAUGGACAUAGUUACACCGUUUGAUCAUGCUUGCGGUGAAUGAAUAGGAGAAAUGAAGCCUGCUGUUUGCAAUAACCCAUACCACCCACUUAUACCUGUGGCAGGGUUCAGCUGCAGGGAAGCUCAUUAUAGACUGCUCUGUUUACAAGCAUUCAAUACACCUUCUCCUGUGACCACAAGUGCUGGUUACUACCACGUGCAAUCUAGUGUCACUGGAAGUUUCCCUAACAUCAGUGUAUUUAGCGUAGCAGCAAAUCCUGGUCACUAAAACAAGAAAACCUUGAUAAGCAGCCUCUUUACUGGUCAAACAGAACUUCUGCAUGAAAAGACAAUUCUGUAUAAAUGGUCUUUAACUAAAAUUCAGAUUGUUACCCUUUCACUGAAAAGCUGUGCUGUUUUCAAAACUGUAUUUUAGUGCAAAUGUUGUUCUUCCUUCUUCUUUGGAAAAUAUUCACUUAAAAGCACCAGUUUAGAAAACCCAGCUUGGAAUAAACUGUCUUCAUUUGAACAUUUAUUUCAAAUGAACACCAUUACUGUGAUGAAUUAUAUCUGUAACCAAAUUGCUGAAAGUGGUCUUGACAGGGUGAUCUUCAGGUGGCCGACUGUUGGGAUCCCGGUGCCGGAAUCCCGACAGCCGGCAUACCGAAAUUUCUUCUCCCUCGUGGGGGUCCACGACACCCCUGGAGGGAGAAUAAAUAGCGCGCCACCGUGCCCGCAGCGUGGCUAGCGCAGCAAGCCCGCAAGGGGCUCAUUUGCGCUCGCCACACUGUCGGUAUGCCGGCGGUCGGGCUCCCGGCGCCGGUAUGCUGGUCGCUGGGAGCCCAACCGCCGGCAUACCAUACUACACCUGUUUUGACAUAUACAUGAUUGAGCAACAUGUGACCUUUGUGGUCCAUUGCCUCCUGGAGAAUCUAGGGCAGUGAUGGGAAACCUUGGCACUCCAGCUGUUGAACUACACAUCCCAGCAUGCCCUGCUACAGUUUUGCUAUUUGGCCAUGCUAAAACAGUAGCAGGGCAUGCUUCCCCAUCACUGCUCUAGGGGGUACAUUUACUAAGGCGUCUAAAACAGAUAAAUGGUGGUGAUGCCAAUAGCAACCAAUCAGGUUCUGUUUAUCAUUGAGCGGGAGAUAUUAAUAAGUGGGACAAUUCCUCCCAAGUAUCGGGUGGUCUACAUUGCAAAGAUAUGUAGCUUACAGCAUAACAACCUUCGUAAUCAAGAAUGACCAACAAGAACAGAGAUCAGAAGCAGCAGGAUAAUAAUAUAAAUCCCCAGAUGAGAUAGUACAAGCUCUUAUGUAGAAUGAGUGGAUGAAGGAUUUUUAAACUCCCUGAUCCGCUCACUUAAUGAAACAAUAUGGUGACUGUAAUAUGCAAUCUGGAUUUUUUUUUCUUUUAAAGACAUUGAAAACUCUAAAUUGACAUGGCCUACACAUCUGACAAGGCACUUUAACAUAAUA